UGGGGAAUAUUGCACAAUGGGCGCAAGCCUGAUGCAGCCAUGCCGCGUGUAUGAAGAAGGCCUUCGGGUUGUAAAGUACUUUCAGCGAGGAGGAAGGCGGUAAGGUUAAUAACCUUAUCGAUUGACGUUACUCGCAGAAGAAGCACCGGCUAACUCCGUGCCAGCAGCCGCGGUAAUACGGAGGGUGCAAGCGUUAAUCGGAAUUACUGGGCGUAAAGCGCACGCAGGCGGUCUGUCAAGUCGGAUGUGAAAUCCCCGGGCUAAACCUGGGAACUGCAUUCGAAACUGGCAGGCUAGAGUCUUGUAGAGGGGGGUAGAAGUCCAGGUGUAGCGGUGAAAUGCGUAGAGAUCUGGAGGAAUACCGGUGGCGAAGGCGGCCCCCUGGACAAAGACUGACGCUCAGGUGCGAAAGCGUGGGGAGCAAACA
rnacentral:rRNA from 1 species